CGGAGAGUUUGAUCCUGGCUCAGGACGAACGCUGGCGGCGUGCCUAAUACAUGCAAGUCGAGCGGACAGAAGGGAGCUUGCUCCCGGACGUUAGCGGCGGACGGGUGAGUAACACGUGGGCAACCUCCCCCUUAGACUGGGAUAACUCCGGGAAACCGGAGCUAAUACCGGAUAAUCCCUUUCUCCACCUGGAGAGAGGGUGAAAAAUGGCUUCGGCUAUCACUAGGGGAUGGGCCCGCGGCGCAUUAGCUAGUUGGUAAGGUAACGGCUUACCAAGGCGACGAUGCGUAGCCGACCUGAGAGGGUGAUCGGCCACACUGGGACUGAGACACGGCCCAGACUCCUACGGGAGGCAGCAGUAGGGAAUCUUCCGCAAUGGACGAAAGUCUGACGGAGCAACGCCGCGUGAGUGAGGAAGGCCUUCGGGUCGUAAAGCUCUGUUGUCGGGGAAGAAGCGGUACCGUUCGAAUAGGGCGGUACCUUGACGGUACCUCACCAGAAAGCCACGGCUAACUACGUGCCAGCAGCCGCGGUAAUACGUAGGUGGCAAGCGUUGUCCGGAAUUAUUGGGCGUAAAGCGCGCGCAGGCGGCUUCUUAAGUCUGAUGUGAAAUCUCGGGGCUCAACCCCGAGCGGCCCAUUGGAAACUGGGGGAGCUUGAGUGCAGAAGAGGAGAGUGGAAUUCCACGUGUAGCGGUGAAAUGCGUAGAGAUGUGGAGGAACACCAGUGGCGAAGGCGACUCUCUGGUCUGUAACUGACGCUGAGGCGCGAAAGCGUGGGGAGCAAACAGGAUUAGAUACCCUGGUAGUCCACGCCGUAAACGAUGAGUGCUAGGUGUUAGGGGUUUCGAUGCCCGUAGUGCCGAAGUUAACACAUUAAGCACUCCGCCUGGGGAGUACGGCCGCAAGGCUGAAACUCAAAGGAAUUGACGGGGACCCGCACAAGCAGUGGAGCAUGUGGUUUAAUUCGAAGCAACGCGAAGAACCUUACCAGGUCUUGACAUCCUUUGACCACCCAAGAGAUUGGGCUUCCCCUUCGGGGGCAAAGUGACAGGUGGUGCAUGGUUGUCGUCAGCUCGUGUCGUGAGAUGUUGGGUUAAGUCCCGCAACGAGCGCAACCCUUGAUCUUAGUUGCCAGCAUUGAGUUGGGCACUCUAAGGUGACUGCCGGUGACAAACCGGAGGAAGGUGGGGAUGACGUCAAAUCAUCAUGCCCCUUAUGACCUGGGCUACACACGUGCUACA
rnacentral:rRNA from 1 species